ACACAGGGAGAUAGGGGACGACAUGGGCCUGGUGUGAUCGCUAUUUAUCAUAAGUUGAAAUUUGUCAGUCGCACAGUUGAGCUGGUGUUGGGUGGUAUUUCGAGGCGGGGUGGCGCCCAAACGUAGCCAACAAUGACCCGCGGAAACCAGAGAGAGCUGGCCCGCCAGAAGAACAUGAAGAACCAGAACAAGGCCAAGAAGGCUGACGAGAUGCAGGGCAACAAGGGAUUAACCAAGGAGCAGCGCCAGCAGAGGGAUGCCGACAUGAUGCGACUCAAACAGCAAAAGGCGGCCGAAAAAAAGGCUGCCGAGACGGCGGCGGGGGCCGGCGGCGGUAAAAAGUGAGCCGCCCGACCGCCGGGACGCUCCGCCCGCCGCCUCCGCCCCCGCUCCCGCCCCCGCCCGCGACCAUGCACUGUGCGAUAUCAUAUUCAAACUCACAAUCGUUGCAAAUUGUACUAUAGAAUAUUACCGGAGAGCGGUGACUCGGUCGGAUGUUCUCUGGAGAUUCGCGAUCGGCGCGCGCGGCUACCGCUUGGCUCGGGUGAUCUUCCUGCGGGCGCGGCGCCGGCACUGCGCGGCCGCCAUUUAUGGCUUCUCUCGAGUGGACUGGAAUCCAGGUGACGGGUCGGAUCCUGAGUUCUCGGUUUAAGUGUGCAUUAAUUGUUUCCAAUAAAAUGAUGGCGUUAUUGCAGUGUUUUCUGUGUGUCCGCAUGAAGAUGACAUGGGUGGUUGUGCGACCGCUUCUAUCUUGUUUAUGUUUAGCAGAAAAGAUGGAAAGUGUAUCGAAAGUUGAACCAAAAUAAAAUUCGACCAGUCUAUUAUC